rnacentral:rRNA from 1 species
UGGGGAAUAUUGGACAAUGGGCGAAAGCCUGAUCCAGCCAUGCCGCGUGUGUGAAGAAGGUCUUCGGAUUGUAAAGCACUUUAAGUUGGGAGGAAGGGCAUUAACCUAAUACGUUAGUGUUUUGACGUUACCGACAGAAUAAGCACCGGCUAACUCUGUGCCAGCAGCCGCGGUAAUACAAAGGGUGCAAGCGUUAAUCGGAAUUACUGGGCGUAAAGCGCGCGUAGGUGGUUUGUUAAGUUGGAUGUGAAAUCCCCGGGCUCAACCUGGGAACUGCAUUCAAAACUGACUGACUAGAGUAUGGUAGAGGGUGGUGGAAUUUCCUGUGUAGCGGUGAAAUGCGUAGAUAUAGGAAGGAACACCAGUGGCGAAGGCGACCACCUGGACUAAUACUGACACUGAGGUGCGAAAGCGUGGGGAGCAAACA